GAAUGCUGACAUAAGUAACGAUAAAGCGGGUGAAAAGCCCGCUCGCCGGAAGACCAAGGGUUCCUGUCCAACGUUAAUCGGGGCAGGGUGAGUCGACCCCUAAGGCGAGGCCGAAAGGCGUAGUCGAUGGGAAACGGGUUAAUAUUCCCGUACUUGGUGUUACUGCGAAGGGGGGACGGAGAAGGCUAUGUUGGCCGGGCGACGGUUGUCCCGGUUUAAGCGUGUAGGUGUGUGUUCCAGGUAAAUCCGGUUCACUUUAACACUGAGGCGUGAUGACGAGGCACUACGGUGCUGAAGCAACAAAUGCCCUGCUUCCAGGAAAAGCCUCUAAGCAUCAGGUAACAUCAAAUCGUACCCCAAACCGACACAGGUGGUCAGGUAGAGAAUACCAAGGCGCUUGAGAGAACUCGGGUGAAGGAACUAGGCAAAAUGGUGCCGUAACUUCGGGAGAAGGCACGCUGACAC
rnacentral:rRNA from 15 species